rnacentral:rRNA from 1 species
AUUGAACGCUGGCAGCAGGCCUAACACAUGCAAGUCGAACGAGUGGCGGACGGGUGAGCAAUGUCUGGGAAAACGCCUGAUGGAGGGGGACCACCACUGGAAAUGGUAGCUAAUACCGCAUACCAUCGGAUGUGCCCAGAUGGGAUUAGCUAGUAGGUGGGGUAAAGGCUCACCUAGGCGACGAUCCCUAGCUGGUCUGAGAGGAUGACCAGCCACACUGGAACUGAGACACGGUCCAGACUCCUACGGGAGGCAGCAGUGGGGAAUAUUGCACAAUGGGCGCAAGCCUGAUGGAGCCAUGCCGCGUGUAUGAAGAAGGCCUUCGGGUUGUAAAGUACUUUCGGCGGGGAGGCGUUACCCGCAGAAGAAGCACCGGCUAACUCCGUGCCAGCAGCCGCGGUAAUAC